rnacentral:rRNA from 1 species
AUCUAAGAGAUUAGACGUUCCCUUCGGGGACAUGGAUACAGGUGGUGCAUGGUUGUCGUCAGCUCGUGUCGUGAGAUGUUGGGUUAAGUCCCGCAACGAGCGCAACCCUUAUUAUCAGUUGCCAGCAUUAAGUUGGGCACUCUGGUGAGACUGCCGGUGACAAACCGGAGGAAGGUGGGGAUGACGUCAAAUCAUCAUGCCCCUUAUGACCUGGGCUACACACGUGCUACAAUGGAUGGUACAACGAGUUGCGAACUCGCGAGAGUAAGCUAAUCUCUUAAAGCCAUUCUCAGUUCGGAUUGUAGGCUGCAACUCGCCUACAUGAAGUCGGAAUCGCUAGUAAUCGCGGAUCAGCAUGCCGCGGUGAAUACGUUCCCGGGUCUUGUACACACCGA